UACGUAGGGUGCAAGCGUUGUCCGGAAUUACUGGGCGUAAAGCGUGCGCAGGCGGUUAUGUAAGACAGGUGUGAAAUCCCAGGGCUUAACCUUGGAACUGCAUUUGUGACUGCAUAGCUAGAGUACGGUAGAGGGGGAUGGAAUUCCGCGUGUAGCAGUGAAAUGCGUAGAUAUGCGGAGGAACACCGAUGGCGAAGGCAAUCCCCUGGACCUGUACUGACGCUCAUGCACGAAAGCGUGGGGAGCAAACAGG
rnacentral:rRNA from 1 species